AAGCUUAUGGUGUAACGGAUAGCACGCAAGGUUACGAACCUUGGAGUAUGGGUUUGAAUCCUAUAGGCUUA
rnacentral:tRNA from 1 species